GAUGAACGCUGGCGGCGUGCUUAACACAUGCAAGUCGAACGGUGAAGCAGGAGCUUGCUCUUGUGGAUCAGUGGCGAACGGGUGAGUAACACGUGAGCAACCUGCCCCUGACUCUGGGAUAAGCGCUGGAAACGGCGUCUAAUACUGGAUAUGUGAUGUGACCGCAUGGUCUGCAGCUGGAAAGAAGUUCGGUUGUGUAUGGGCUCGCGGCCUAUCAGCUUGUUGGUGAGGUAAGGGCUCACCAAGGCGUCGACGGGUAGCCGGCCUGAGAGGGUGACCGGCCACACUGGGACUGAGACACGGCCCAGACUCCUACGGGAGGCAGCAGUGGGGAAUAUUGCACAAUGGGCGGAAGCCUGAUGCAGCAACGCCGCGUGAGGGAUGACGGCCUUCGGGUUGUAAACCUCUUUUAGCAGGGAAGAAGCGAAAGUGACGGUACCUGCAGAAAAAGCACCGGCUAACUACGUGCCAGCCGCCGCAGUAA
rnacentral:rRNA from 1 species